CAAAUAUAUUGCGUAAUUAUUAAAGUUCACAAAUUUUAUUUAUUUAAACUGUAUAUUAAUCAUAGUGCAAAUUAUAUUGUUUCCAUCUAUAUAUUGUACUAUUAAGUUUCAAAUAUGAAAAUGUGAUAAAGUUUCAUAAAAUUGUAACUAGCUAUCCUUUCUAUCACAAUACAUAUACAAUUUCAGAUCAAUGACAAAAAACAAUGCUUCAAGUAGUAUAGAUAUAAUCUUAAAUUUAUUUUUAAUAAAGUUGUAGUAUGUAGCUUCUAAAAAAUUAUGUUAGAUUAGUAUAUGAAUAAAUUUGUUGACUAAUGAAUAGUUUUUUUAAUAAUUUUUGGAGAUGUCGUUAGAAUACAUAUUAUCUCUAAAUCAAUGAUUUUUUGCUAUGAUUACUCAAUUUGCAAAUCAUCAAUAUUUUAAAGAUUUUGUAGAACUUAUAGAUGCAGACGAUCAAGCUUAUUUAUUGUGCAGUCCAUUCCAUGGAUUCAUUUGCAGAAGUAUGUAUAAAAAGAAAAAUGAAAAAUUUAGCAGCAAAUUAAUACAUGAGUUCAUAAUGAGACUUAUAAACUGCGGUAAAAAUAACGAAGUUUGGGUACAAUUACACGAUCAUGUAGCCCGUUUUGGCCUGCAAGAAUUUUGUCUAAUCACUGGAUUACCAUGCCAUGAAGUUAUUGUUAAUCUCAAUUUUAGUAAUACUCGACUUAGGGAUGAAUACUUCAAUGGUUCAAGGAGAAUUACUAUGAUAAGACUUUCUGAAGUAUUUUAUAUGUGUCGAGAUCGAGAAGAUAAAUUUAAGUUGGGAUUAGUUAUGUUCGUCGAAUGCGUUUUAAAACCAACUGGAAGACACAUCGAUUUCAGAACUCUUGGAAUACUUGAACAACUUGAUGAGUUCCUUAUGUAUCUAUGGGGACGUAAGACAUACUUUGUUUUAUUAAAUUCAUUACAAGAAUCACAGUUUGAAAGAGUACGAAGAAUACAACAAAAUGACCAAAUAGACUGUAAAUAUUCGUUGCAUGGUUAUCCCCUUGCAUUCCAGGUAUUUUUCUUUCAUUUUUUCACCAUUACAUAUAAUUUAAUCAUAUAAAAACUUUAAUAUUUCUUUUUACUUAUAUUUCAGCAUUGGAUAUAUGAAACUUUUCCUCAAAUUGGACAACAAUUCGGCCAUCGUAUCCGUACAAGCUUAAAAUGUCCACGAAUACAUAAAUGACAGCCUCAAAUAGUAUUAACGGAACAUGUUAUUAGACAAUUUUUGGCUGCUCAAGAGCGCAUACUGGAAAGAUGAAAUCGGCAAUCUAUACGGAAGACAAUCGUUGAUAAAUAUAAUAAAUCAAACGAAAGAUAUAAAUAUUGUGGUAAGUCAACUUUAGUAAUCAUAAUUAAUUAUACUCCAUUAUUAAUAUAUCUAAUUUACAUUUUUUUUACUAGUAUAUUGAUAUAGAAUUAAAGCUGUUGAGAAUACUUAUUCACGAUGGAUCUUCCCCGCUUUCUAAAGAAUAUGCAAUCAUGAACCUUAGAUUCGAGAAUGAAUGUGUUCAUUGGUAUAAAAUUAUAAAAGGAGGAGCUGCCCAUUCUACAAGUAAUUUCAAUGCAUUACAAUAGUACAUGAAAGGAGAAUUACCUGUAUUUGCUCGUCCGUGAAUAACAUACAACUAUUUAUUGAUUCCAUCCGCAUAUCCAAGCAACAUUUGAUUUCUUUUUCUUGUCGACUUUCAAAAGUGGAAAUUUCAUGUAUAUGAUUGCAGCCACAACAUUCAUACAUCGGAUGCAAUUAAAUUACGUGCAGAACCUGUUUUGACUGUAGUACAAUCAUUAUUGAUAUCUACAGACUUUUUUUCGGCAAAUCAAGUUUAAGAAAACAUAGAAAUAAACAUAUGAAAUUGGAAAUCAUACCGUAUCUACCUUGUCAAAAUAAUGGGUAAGCAUCUCAACAAUUUACUAUAAUAUUUAAUUUUCUAUUUAAUUUUAUUGUCAAAUUAUUUUUUCUAUAGGCCAAAUUCAGGAGUUAUACUUCUCAAAUACAUUGAAUGCUUUGUUUUCGGAUAUCCAUUAGAAGCAGUUUCACCAUAGAAGAUACGUUUAUAUAGACGAAAGAUUGUCACAGAUAUCUGUCACAAUAAAUAUUUUUUACGUCCGUGUUUAUCCUAACCAUAACAAAUUAUGAAAAUUCAGUAAGAUUCCUUUAUCAAAAUUCAAUUUAUAAUCUUAUAUUCAUAACUUUAAAAUUACUUAUUUUAAAUAUUUCUAUACAUUGGAAUAAAUGUAGGUUCUUCGGUGGCAAAUAUGAGACAUUAAAUCUGUUCCAACUUCAGGUUUUACGAAAUGGGAAAUGAAAUGAGGAAAAAGCCUCAAUGUUGGUUCCUUCGAACAUAGUCAAUAUCAAACUUGAAGAUUCAGCCCCACCUAACUAUUAUUCUAUUAGCUAGAUACAUCUGGUACCAAAAGCUAAAGGAAUUCAGUAAGCUGGUGAUCCACGUAUACUUUAACAGGAGUUGAUGUAUCUUCAUUUAUUAAUUUUGUACUCUAAAUGUUCAAUUUCAAUAUCUAUUAUAGUGAUUUUGAAUUUGAAGGAGUAAAUGCUUUUGUUGUUUAAGUCUGUAAAAUGGUGCUGAGGUUACUUUUAUCUUACUAAUGAAGUUUAAUUCUUAAAACAAGGUUAGUGUUGUUUAAUUUAACAUUAACUGUGUUUUUGAAUGUUACUACCCACUUCACCACUAUUUUAUAUAUUUUUGUAAUACAGACAAGUUAAAGAUGUUGUAAAAGUUAUACAGAAUACCUGGGAAGCAAAGAUUCAAACACACAAUUGUUUACAGUACUGCUUCUUGAGAUGUUGAUGAAAAAUAUUGGAGAACAUGUUCAUCAUCAGAUUAUAGGCAUAGCCACGGAUGGGU